rnacentral:rRNA from 1 species
AACAAACGCUGGCGGUGCGUUUUAAGCAUGCAAGUCGAACGGUAACAGGCCUUCGGGUGCUGACGAGUGGCGGACGGGUGAGUAACACGUAGGAAACUACCUUUAAGACUGGGACAACCUGGAGAAAUUCAGGCUAAUACCGGAUAUGCUAUACGUAGUAAAGGGGCAACCCGCUUAGAGAUGUGCCUGCGGCUGAUUAGCUAGUUGGUAGGGUAAAGGCUUACCAAGGCGACGAUCAGUAGCCGACUUGAGAGAGUGUACGGUCACACCGGAACUGAGACACGGUCCGGACUCCUACGGGAGGCAGCAGCUAAGAAUCUUCCGCAAUGGGCGAAAGCCUGACGGAGCGACACCGCGUGAUUGAUGAAUGUCGAGAGAUUGUAAAGAUCUUUUCCUAGUGAGGAUAAUGACGUUAACUAGGGAAUAAGCCCUGGCUAAUUACGUGCCAGCCGCCGCGGUAAU